UUCGGAGGUUUCGAGCGUUAAUCGGAAUAACUGGGCGUAAAGGGCACGCAGGCGGGCUUUUAAGUGAGAUGUGAAAUCCCCGGGCUUAACCUGGGAAUAGCAUUUCAGACUGGGAGUCUAGAGUACUUUAGGGAGGGGUAGAAUUCCACGUGUAGCGGUGAAAUGCGAAGAGAUGUGGAGGAAUACCGAAGGCAAUAGAAGCCCCGUGGGUAUGGAAUGAAGCUCAUGUGCGAAAGCGUGGGGAGCAAACAGG
rnacentral:rRNA from 1 species